CAGUCGCCACGGUAAUACGUAGGUGGCAAGCGUUGUCCGGAAUUAUUGGGCGUAAAGCGCGCGCAGGUGGUUUAAUAAGUCUGAUGUGAAAGCCCACGGCUCGACCGUGGAGGGUCAUUGGAAACUGUUAAACUUGAGUGCAGGAGAGAAAAGUGGAAUUCCUAGUGUAGCGGUGAAAUGCGUAGAGAUUAGGAGGAACACCAGUGGCGAAGGCGGCUUUUUGGCCCGUAACUGACACUGAGGCGCGAAAGCGUGGGGAGCAAACAGGAUUAGAGACCCCUGUAGUCCCUGUCUCUUAUAC
rnacentral:rRNA from 1 species